GCUGGGAGGAGUCCAAGUGUGAAGACCUCAAAAGAACCAAAAGAUUAGUUAGAUAUGCUGAGCUCAUUGUCUCAACAUGGAGGAAGGAACUCAAAAACCAGAAGAGGACAUUAUGAGAAUUUUACUGGAGAUAAGGAGACUAUUUCCUGGUCUCCAGGAGGGGUGUGGGGUUAAACAGUGUCAGUUGCUCAGGUGGUUUAUCUCUGCAAUCACUGCCUCAGUCCCUCUGUUCUGGAACUACAGGCUGGACAUGAACUCAGCAAUCCUGCUUCAGAUUCCCAAAUGCUGGGAUUACAGGUAGGGUGACACUACAGCUGCUCUCAGACUCCUUUAAAAAAAUCUAUUAUUUAUUUGGUACAGGGUCUUACUACACAGCUAGCUCAGACUCAUAGUGACC